rnacentral:rRNA from 1 species
CUGUGCGAAUGAGUUGCAGGGUAUAGACCCGAAACCCGGUGAUCUAUCCUUGGGCAGGUUGAAGGUUGGGUAACACUAACUGGAGGACAGAACCGACUAAUGUUGAAAAAUUAGCGGAUGACUUGUGGAUGGGGGUGAAAGGCCAAUCAAACCGGGAGAUAGAUGGUUCUCCCCGAAAGCUAUUUAGUUAGAGCCUCGUGAACUCAUCUUCGGGGGUAGAGCACUGUUUCGACUAG